rnacentral:rRNA from 1 species
AACGAACGCUGGCGGCAGGCUUAACACAUGCAAGUCGAGCGGGCCCUUCGGGGUCAGCGGCGGACGGGUUAGUAACGCGUGGGAACGUGCCCUUUGCUUCGGAAUAGCCCUGGGAACCUGGGGGUAAUACCGGAUGUGCCCUGAGGGGGAAAGAUUUAUCAGCAAGGGAUCGGCCCGCGGCUGAUUAGGUAGUUGGGGAGGUAACGGCUCACCAAGCCGACGAUCGGUAGCUGGUUUGAGAGGAUGAUCAGCAACACUGGGACUGAGACACGGCCCAGACUCCUACGGGAGGCAGCAGUGGGGAAUCUUAGACAAUGGGCGCAAGCCUGAUCUAGCCAUGCCGCGUGGGUGAUGAAGGCCUUAGGGUCGUAAAGCCCUUUCGCCGGGGAAGAUAAUGACGGUACCCGGUAAAGAAACCCCGGCUAACUCCGUGCCAGCCGCCGCGGUAAGAC